ACGAAAUAUCGAAUAAAUAAACAAAUCUGAAGACCUCGAGCUUGAUUUCACAAAAUUUAAAUAUUCAACUUAAAAGGUCGAACAACUAAAACAAACAAUUCGAAUUGGAAAAUGUUAUGAUGCGUUGUUACCGCACGAUGCUUGUUAAAAAGACAUCCUAAACAAAAAAAAAUAAUUUCAUAACAAAACCUGAAAAGCAUGGGGAUUUUAAGUGUAAUGAUAUGGGGUUAGUUUCCGUACCAAUAUAUUGGAUUAGAAAUAUCAUGGAUGCAAGCUAACAUGUCAUCAUUCUUCACGAAAUUUUGCUACCAUAUGCCUCCUGUGAAAUGCCACUGGUUUGGGUCUUCACACUAGCAAAAAAGUAAAAUGUGGUUUACGGACAAUUUAAAAAGUGGCCAGAAAAGUCACAUCAUUUAAACUCGAAUGAACAUUUGUGAACAGAAAUCAAGUAAGGAGAGUACCCAAGAGAUCCAACAAAAAAUUAAAGACAUUGAAAUGUAAUAUAGGGUAUCUGGAGCUCUUUUUCCUAAGAAAGAUGCCAAAAUCUUUUCAAUUCUGUUGGAAAACGUCGCUUUGCUGUCAUUACAUACAAGGGACUCGUCACCAAAUUUCAUUGCUUCAAACUAUAAUUAAAAAUCAAAAAGGACGAAUGUCUUUUCUUUCUAGGACGAACACUAUGGAACAGAGGUCUACGAGAAAAGCAGUUGGCAACUGCUGUUGCCAGGCACGUGUCCUUAACCUAACCUAGCCGUGGUAGGAACCUGCCAAAAAGGGCAAAACUGCUUAUAACCAAUCAUCCCAGAACAAAGCACUCACAUUUAUUUCAACGCUGACAAGUGGCAGCUAUUCUAAAGGUUAGGUUGUUUUAUUUACCGGUCUAGCAGAUUCCCUAGCUUAUGGAAUAAGUAAAUCGCUCUUCCCGCCAAAUGCUUUGUACGUUAACGUCGUCAGCACUGUCAUCAAAAAACAAACAAAAUAUGUCAUUUUAAUUAAAUGUUUAGUUUUUAAUACAAAAUACGAUCGGCAAUCAAUUAAUGUUGGUCCAAAAAAGCAAGCAGUCUUAAGGACCCAAAACAAUUGUUGGUAAAGGUCUGAGCCUGCCAUUCACUUAAUGUUUGCUUUCACCUGUUCUCGGCAAAUGGCGACUGCUGCUGUGCUGAAUGCAUUUUGUUGGGUCUUUCGUUUUGUUCAUGAUGAUGUUCAGCGAUUUUGGAUUUUUGCUGACUAUUUUCU
rnacentral:sRNA from 1 species